UACGUAGGGUGCGAGCGUUAAUCGGAAUUACUGGGCGUAAAGGGCUCGUAGGCGGCCAACUAAGUCAGACGUGAAAUCCCCAGGCUUAACCUGGGAACUGCGUCUGAUACUGGAUGGCUUGAAUUCGGGAGAGGGAUGCAGAAUUCCAGGUGUAGCGGUGAAAUGCGUAGAUAUCUGGAGGAAUACCGGUGGCGAAGGCGGCAUCCUGGACCGACAUUGACGCUGAGGAGCGAAAGCUAGGGGAGCAAACGGG
rnacentral:rRNA from 1 species